CUCCAGCACCACCAAGCGGUCCAAACCCUCCGAGUCCACCACCUACGACACCUCCGAGGCCGCCGACACCACCGCCAAUGCCUCCCGCAACGCCUCCGAUGCCCCCGAGGCCGGCGCCGGCGCCAGCGAACCCUCCGACGCCGCCGACGUAGCCCGGCAGGAAGGUCUUCUGGUCGGCGUUCACGCCGGACGCAGCAGCUCUCUGACCAUGCUUCUGCUGGCUGUCGUUGCUGUUAGUAGUAGUGCCGCCUAUGGCCGUCGUGGUGGUCGUCGUUGGCAUGGCUCUGCUGGCCUCGGCGGGCGUCAGCGCCAGGAUGACAACCAGGAGCACCAGGCUCAGGCUCAGGCUGCUGCUGCUGCAGCACGCCAUGAUUCCGGCGGUGUUGCGCCACCCGCUAGGCAUACCGGAUCAAUAAUAAUGUGCCUUCUCCUUAUCUCUCGGCUUUUCUUUUUCUUUUUUGGUGGCUAGGGCUCAGGUCUCUCUCUGCAGGUCGCAAUGAAG
rnacentral:misc_RNA from 1 species